rnacentral:rRNA from 2 species
AUGUGAUGUGGCGGUGCUAUACAUGCAAGUCGAGCGGACCAAAGGGAGCUUGCUCCUGGAGGUUAGCGGCGAACGGGUGAGUAACACGUGGGCAACCUGCCUGUAAGACUGGGAUAACAUCGAGAAAUCGGUGCUAAUACCGGAUAAUAAAAAGAACUGCAUGGUUCUUUUUUGAAAGAUGGUUUCGGCUAUCACUUACAGAUGGGCCCGCGGCGCAUUAGCUAGUUGGUGGGGUAACGGCUCACCAAGGCGACGAUGCGUAGCCGACCUGAGAGGGUGAUCGGCCACACUGGGACUGAGACACGGCCCAGACUCCUACGGGAGGCAGCAGUAGGGAAUCUUCCGCAAUGGACGAAAGUCUGACGGAGCAACGCCGCGUGAGUGAUGAAGGUUUUCGGAUCGUAAAACUCUGUUGUUAGGGAAGAACAAGUGCCGUUCGAAAGGGCGGCACCUUGACGGUACCUAACGAGAAAGCCACGGCUAACUACGUGCCAGCAGCCGCGGUAAUACGUAGGUGGCAAGCGUUGUCCGGAAUUAUUGGGCGUAAAGCGCGCGCAGGCGGUCUCUUAAGUCUGAUGUGAAAGCCCCCGGCUCAACCGGGGAGGGUCAUUGGAAACUGGGAGACUUGAGUACAGAAGAGGAGAGUGGAAUUCCACGUGUAGCGGUGAAAUGCGUAGAGAUGUGGAGGAACACCAGUGGCGAAGGCGACUCUCUGGUCUGUAACUGACGCUGAGGCGCGAAAGCGUGGGGAGCAAACAGGAUUAGAUACCCUGGUAGUCCACGCCGUAAACGAUGAGUGCUAGGUGUUAGGGGUUUCGACGCCCUUAGUGCCGAAGUUAACACAUUAAGCACUCCGCCUGGGGAGUACGACCGCGAGGUUGAAACUCUAAGGAAUUGACGGGGGGCCGCACAAGCAGUGGAGCAUGUGGUUUAUUUCGAAGCAACGCGAAGAACCUUACCAGGUCUUGACAU